rnacentral:rRNA from 1 species
AUGGAGACGUCCAUGGCGACUUCGACGACGAGCAAUCGCUUCGCGCACCGCAUGCUCAGCCUCCACCGCCUCAUCAAGAACAACGUCGUCGCAUCUCUCCUCGGGGGCCACCGCCAGACCACGCCGGCGACGACGGGAACACCGGUGCCGCUUCCAGCAACACGCCUGCUCGGUAACAGCAAGACCGCGGCGGUUGUCGACGUCGACGCGCUACUCCUGAAUUCUUCGAUGCCGUCCGCGGCGACUUUAUUCCCACCUUUCUUCCUCGUCGCGGUCGAGGCUGGCAGCUUCGUCCGAGGCUUCCUCCUGCUGGCGCUCUACCCGUUCCUCCGCGUCCUGAAGCAUGGGACGUGUUUAAAAGCCAUGGCCAUGGUCUGCUUCUGCGGGCUGCGGCGCAACGAGGCGGCGAGGAUCGGGAGGGCCGUGCUGCCAAAGUAUUUCUUCAAGGAGGCGGCGCACGUGGAGGCGCUAGCGAAGGUGGCCGGAGAGUCGCCGAAAGAGGUGAAGGUGGCAGCGGUUAGUAGGACUUUUCCAACGGUGAUGGUGGAGGCGUUCUUGAAAGAGUAUGUUGGGUUCGACGCGGUGGUCGGCAGGGAGGUGAAGGCAGGUUACCGGUACUUCGCCGGCGUGAUGGAGGACGAGAAGACGGACACAACGAUGGAGAGUCUUGUUGAUGGGCUAAAGCAAACCGAGAUGAAGAAUACGUGCCAUUACCCGAAGCCCAUGAUCUUCCACGACGGUCGGCUGGCGUUCACGCCGACACCGGCUGCCGCGCUCGCCAUGUACAUCUACUUCCCCUUCGCUAUCGUCCUCGCCAUCGUCCGCAUCGCCAUCUACACCAUACUUCCCCGGCUUAUGACGGGCGUCGCCGCCGCACUUGCCGGCGUGCGGGUGCGCGUCACCGGCGCCCCUACUUCCGCGGUCGACGGAGCCACGGCAGGCGGCCGGCUCUACGUGUGCAACCACCGCACGCUCCUCGACGCGAUCGCCAUCUCCAGUGCGCUCGGGAAGUCCGUCUUCGCCGUGACCUACAGCCUGGGCCGCCUGUCCGAGCUGAUCUCGCCCAUCCCGCUGCUCCGACUCACCCGCGGCCGCGAGGAGGACCGGCGCCGCAUGGCGUUGCUGCUGGCGCGGGGUGACGUCGUCGUUAGCCCCGAGGGCACCACGUGCCGCGAGCCGUACCUGCUACGGUUCAGCCCGCUGUUCGCGGAGCUUGCCGACGAGGUGAGCCCCGUGGCGGUGGACGAGCGCUCGACCAUGUUCUACGGCACGUCGACGUCGCCAAUCGACAAGUGCUUCGACUCGGUGUACUUCUUGAUGAACCCUCGACCGGAGUACUCCGUCCACUUCCUGAAGCCGGUGCCCACCGGCGGCCAGAACAGCAGCAUCGAGGUGGCGAACCAGGUGCAGCGGGUGCUCGCCGACGCGCUGGGGUUCACGCCCACGGCGCUGACGAGGAAGGACAAGUACAUGCUGCUCGCCGGCAACGAAGGGACAGUGGCGACGAAGAAAAGCAAUUAG